GGGGCCGUAGCCCAACAGGCAGAGGCACUGGAUUUAGGUUCCAGCCAGUGAGGGUUCGACUCCCUUCGGCCCCA
rnacentral:tRNA from 2 species